rnacentral:rRNA from 1 species
GUAGCAUAAUAAUUUGCUUUUUAAUUGAAAGCUGGAAUGAAUGGUUUAACUAGUUUGUUUAGUUUGUGUGUUGGUUAGUAAGUUUAAGUAAGGGUAAGAAUUCUCUUAUAUUCUAGGGGACGAUAAGACCCUAGAAGCUUAAUAAGUAGAAGAUUGGUAGUAUUAAAAUUUAAUUUAUUUUACUGGGGCGGUAAUAAUAAACAAACUAUUGAUAAAGGGGUAGAUCCUGCUAAAUGCAGAAAAAUCGGAUAAGUUACUCUAGGGAUAACAGUACAAUAUGUUUAGAGAGACCAUAUCGAUAAAUAAGUUUGUAACCUCGAUGUUGAAUUAAUAAGUCUAUGUGGAGUAGAAGAUGCAUAAGAA